UAAGUAAGUGGUGGAAAUUAAACCAAAUGGGAUAUCUUUAGUAAUUGCGAAUGAACAAGGAUAUGCUUAGCUUGACAAAUGGAGCUAUUGGCUUUGAGUUGUAUUGUGGAAAUGUAUUACCAACAGAGGUGCAGGUGCCAGCCUAUUGAAAUAAAGCGUCAAUGAGGGUGAGAAUCCUGUUUGUCAUGUGCAGCCCUUUGUGCACGGUGUAUAUUUGCUGAGUCACACUCCUUGGCAUUGGAAUGCAAAGUGGGUGGUAAGUUUCAUGUAAAGGUAAACAUGCAAUUGAGACUGAUAGCACACAAGUACCAUGAGGGAAAUAUGAAAAGGACUUUGAAAAGAGAAUUAAAUGAGUUUGUAUUUGCUGAACACAAAGUAAACAGACUUGAUUUGCUUGGUGGGAGUGUUGCACUUGCUUGACAAGAGCUUUGGGCUGUGGGUGUAAUGAUUCUUUCUUUGCAUGCCAGUUUCUAUUUGUACAUCUGAUUACCUUUGCACAUGAAUGAUAAGUCUCCUGUGGGGGGUGGAUUGCAUGUGCAUGUAAUGAUUUGUGUUUUGAUAAAUGUGUCUGGUGUAUGUGUGUGUUCCUGUGCUUGGGGAUGCUUCCUUCCUUGGACUUACAAGCCCUGACACACACAUGCUGGCAAAAUGCUUCUGCUUGACCCG
rnacentral:rRNA from 1 species